rnacentral:rRNA from 1 species
GAGUUUGAUCGUGGCUCAGAUUGAACGCUGGCGGCAUGCCUUACACAUGCAAGUCGAACGGCAGCAUGAUCUAGCUUGCUAGAUUGAUGGCGAGUGGCGAACGGGUGAGUAAUACAUCGGAACGUGCCCUGUAGUGGGGAUAACUAGUCGAAAGAUUAGCUAAUACCGCAUACGACCUGAGGGUGAAAGUGGGGGACCGCAAGGCCUCAUGCUAUAGGAGCGGCCGAUGUCUGAUUAGCUAGUUGGUGGGUAAAGGCCCACCAAGGCGACGAUCAGUAGCUGGUCUGAGAGGACGAUCAGCCACACUGGGACUGAGACACGGCCCAGACUCCUACGGGAGGCAGCAGUGGGGAAUUUUGGACAAUGGGCGAAAGCCUGAUCCAGCAAUGCCGCGUGUGUGAAGAAGGCCUCGGUUGUAA